rnacentral:lncRNA from 1 species
AGGAGGCUUGAGGCAGAUGUGUAAGGCUGACGAUUGGAGGGCAACGGUGAUGGCGUGAGCAGGUGGCGUGCGGCGCUGGAGGCCUUGGUUAGGGUUUGCUGCUGCUGAAAUUUUUUUGUUUAUGGGCUAUUAGGUUUGGGCUUAGGGUUUGGGUCACUUGAGCCCAUUGUAAUUUGGACUGUUUCAUUUAUUUAUUUUUUGGUUUAUUUUAUUUUUGCUUUGGGGUUUGAUUUGGUUUAAUUUGGGCUGGGGUUAUUUUAUUUGUAAUGGACUGUUAACUCUUUUGGUUUAAUUUGGGCCCGGGCAAAAUGGGUUAUUACAAGAAUCA